GGUACAUGUGCUGUCUUUCUAAAGUUUAUAAUAUCACAUAUUGAUGGCAUAACCGGCGAAUAAAUAACAGAGUGAUGAGCGAAGAGAAGUUUUCGGGUUGGAUGGACUACAGGUGGUGUAUUAUUGCAUCCGAGUUUGCGGAUAUAUGACGAGUCUCAAUGGUGUGCCUCAAUAAAGAUUAACCACAUUACACACACACCGACAUACAUAAAAAUCCCGAAUGUCACGAGCAACAACAGAAUAUCAUCGCAAUGAACUCCAAUCUGCUCAUUUUUAAAGCAACACAUCUGAGGUACACCUGUUCAACUCUACACGUGAGGAUUUCCACCAUACUGAUGAGCAUCUCUAUUUCAACUCGACGGGUUACAUCAAGUAGACAUUCCCUGAAACUAUUGGGACUUUGCUAUUAAUCAUUAUAUUGCUUUUCAUUAUUCAUUACCAGAUCUCCAAUUAAUAGUUUUUUUGAUCUAACUUUGUUAUUUCUGUAUUAUUGUUAUUGUUGUUAUGCAGGAUUACACUUUGUUUUGUUCAUUUAUUUGAAUGCUUUAUUAUGCUCAAUGAUUCAUAUUUAAAAUACACUGAUACACUUGAGAAAUUGUA